rfam:Capsicum annuum cultivar Zunla-1 chromosome 5, whole genome shotgun sequence
CUUCAUGGUUAGGGUAUUUCAUGAGUUUGUCAUUGAACCUUUGCCAUACCUCAUAUAAGGGUUCACCACUAUGUUGAGAAAAAUAUAUGAUUUUGUGUCUUAGUUG